CUAAUCUGCGAUAAGCGCCGGUAAGGUGAUAUGAACCGUUAUAACCGGCGAUACCCGAAUGGGGAAACCCAGUGUGACUCGUCACACUAUCAUUAACUGAAUCCAUAGGUUAAUGAGGCGAACCGGGGGAACUGAAACAUCUAAGUACCCCGAGGAAAAGAAAUCAACCGAGAUUCCCCCAGUAGCGGCGAGCGAACGGGGAGGAGCCCAGAGCCUGAAUCAGCAUGUGUGUUAGUGGAAGCGUCUGGAAAGGCGCGCGAUACAGGGUGACAGCCCCGUACACAAAAGCGCAUGUGCUGUGAGCUCGAUGAGUAGGGCGGGACACGUGGUAUCCUGUCUGAAUAUGGGGGGACCAUCCUCCAAGGCUAAAUACUCCUGACUGACCGAUAGUGAACCAGUACCGUGAGGGAAAGGCGAAAAGAACCCCGGCGAGGGGAGUGAAAAAGAACCUGAAACCGUGUACGUACAAGCAGUGGGAGCACCCUUUGGGUGUGACUGCGUACCUUUUGUAUAAUGGGUCAGCGACUUAUAUUCUGUAGCAAGGUUAACCGAAUAGGGGAGCCGGAGGGAAACCGAGUCUUAAC
rnacentral:rRNA from 1 species